UUUUUGAAAGCGUCGGGCAUCGCCAAAAUUCCUGUACCGAGGCAUCCUUUGAUCAAAUGGAUGUAAGUUUCUAAAUUCCUGAAAAGGCGAAUAUUGUUCAAAUCAGAACACAAUUUAUUGACAACCGGUGUUCGCCUUCUAACGAGAUAUUUCUGAUUUACUCACAAUACUAGAUCAGGGUGAAACACGGAUAGAACUUGUGUCGACGACUAUGAUCGUAUGAUCGACUGGAUCCUAUCCUCUCCGACUGAGGUCUGGCCCGAGUUAAUCUCCUCAAUUUGUGUCGUAUCCGGGAGCAGCCGGAAAGUCGAAGGUGGUGGGGACGACAUCCAUUCUCUUCCUCUGCUCAAAUUUUCUCUUCCACCCCACUCGAAAGAACGAAUUUGUCAACAAAAGCGAAAAAAAGUGUUAACAGGCAAACAGAAACACAUCGCAGGAACAUGAACGGUAUUAGUUGAUCGAUGGGAGAGUAGGACAUCAUUUAUACUAGAUUAUAAUCAUAAAAGAACAGUUUUCGGCAACGUCGGGAUUCGAACCAAUGACCGCUAACCUGACGAACUUGAGAACCGAAGUCUAAUCCAGCACACCAAUGGCAACUAGCAUAAAUAACAUAAAAUAAACUAUUACAGCAUUUCUGAUAUUUAAA